rnacentral:rRNA from 1 species
UACGAAAGGUCCAAGCGUUACUCGGAAUUACUGGGCGUAAAGCGCGCGUAGGCGGUCUUGUAUGUCGAUUGUGAAAGCCCCGGGCUCAACCUGGGAACUGCAGUCGAAACUGCAAGACUUGAAUGUUGGAGAGGUUGGGGGAAUACCUAGUGGAGAAGUGAAAUUCGUAGAGAUUAGGUGGAACACCAGAGGCGAAGGCGCCUGACUGGCCAAACAUUGACGCUGAGGCGCGAAAGCGUGGGUAGCAAACAGG